rnacentral:rRNA from 1 species
GUACUUGGUGUUACUGCGAAGGGGGGACGGAGAAGGCUAUGUUGGCCGGGCGACGGUUGUCCCGGUUUAAGCGUGUAGGCUGGUUUUCCAGGCAAAUCCGGAAAAUCAAGGCUGAGGCGUGACGACGAGGCACUACGGUGCUGAAGCAACAAAUGCCCUGCUUCCAGGAAAAGCCUCUAAGCAUCAGGUAACAUCAAAUCGUACCCCAAACCGACACAGGUGGUCAGGUAGAGAAUAC